UAUCCAUUACCUAAUUUUGUAGUGGGGACAAAUUUAUUAGGUACUAGGUUAAUGGCAACAUGUUGACAAUGGAUCCAGCGACUCAAAUGUAUAGAAUUCUUAAGCAUACAAACCAUGAAUACCUUUUUCAAGUUGUUUAAAUUGUGAAAAAAUAUGAAAUUUGUUGUGGGUUUUUAUUAGACUAUCGUUUACGUGAAUACCUCUCAGGCAACUGGAUAUGUUGGUGUUCUUAUAAUAACAAGGUAUGUAUGUUCCAUUCUGCUAUUUUUGUGCUCUUUGGUACAUGGUUUGAGGAAAUUAAAAUAAUCUUUGUUGAUUAUCCGCUAAUAAAUUUUGGUAUGCGACAUAAUAUUUAAUGACCUAUGUGAGAAUUAAUAUUGUGACAUUGUGUUUGAAGCAUCUGAUUUUUGUUGAUUGGUGCUAUUCAUUGUACGGUUUUUUAGAAAUAAAAUUUUAGUUGCAAGAGACUUCAUCUAAUUUUGAUUUUGUAGCUGCAUUUCAAUCCUAUUCAUGUAGUUGUGUAGCUUCGAACAUCAAUGGUGGUUUUUUAAAUCUGGUAGCUAAAAAAGGAAGAACAAUGUUGUGGCGAAGAUUUUUUGUUAAAUUAAAAGAAUUUAAGUAAGUUAAAUAAAUUGGUUCAUCGAAGAAGGUAGG
rnacentral:lncRNA from 1 species